rnacentral:sRNA from 1 species
AGGUUAGCGUCGCCCGUCUCUUCCCCCCCAUGUGAUCGAUCGCCACCGCCGCUCCCGCCGCCGCUGCUCCCUCCGGUGCGCCUCCCGUGGGCUCGCGCCGCUCUCUCCGCCGCGAUCUCACCCUGCUCCGCCGCCUCCAUCCCCGCUCUCGGGAAAGGGAGAUUGGUACUUUCUCUGUAUCGUUUCCCAACAGGAAUGAUCCAAACAGUGCCAAAGCUGCUUUUAGACGGCUGCUGGAUUCGAAGGAAUGAUACAUGCUAUUAGCAGAUUUCCGGUGGCAAAUCAUUGGCCUGGGGCUUAAAUGCAGCAUGUUAUUGCCACCACAUAUAGAAGAUGCAGCGUCCUGCCAUUGUUUAAUUCUUGUGCUAAAGUAUAGCAGCUCAUUGCUAUGGUUUGGUGCAAAAGUGGUGCAUUAGCUGUACUCAUGUUGCCCAUUUUCAUAUAUUCUUCCAGAACGUGAUCCUAAUUUUCUGGUUUGGUUUAUAGCUAGGGGGAGGAGAGAAAAUGAGGGAGAGCUGGUUUUAGUACAUAAGCCAGCUUACAUCAUUGUUGUUCUGUUUAUGGCUAUUAAUUAGACCGCUCUGUGAGAUGGACAAAUCAUUGUUUCCACCCUGUCUAGAACAUGUGCAGCAAUUGCUGCCUUAAUGCUGCAUGAGUGGUGUGGUUAGAC